CCAGCCUUGCUGUGGUCUUACCUCCUGGGCCACACCCCUGCCCUCCUCCUGAGAUUGCCAGGCCCCUGCCUGUUUCAUCUCAGUGCUGAGGAUGGCAUGCGGCACACAGCCGGUGCUUACAACAUUUAUAUAUUGAAUGAAGGAACCAUGAAGUCCGUCAACCAGUCUCUUCUCACCCAUCCCAAUCCCUGAUGAUCCCAUUAGCCAACCGUAAAAGGUGGCCACACAUGGCAGAGUGAGACGCAAGAGAACCUCCACCCAGGGGGAAGGCGAUGGGUGGGCGCUUGAGCCAUCUCGGCAGAAUUCACUUUUCUUUCUUUGCACCCAAAGGCCCUUUUCAAACUGGAGAAACCCCAGAGUGACCAGCUCAGCCCAGUUUGCUGAGGACCGUCCUAGUUUUCACAUGGAAAGUCCUGGAUCCUGGAGACUCCCUUGGUGCUGGGUAAAGCAUGCCAGCUCAGCGCAGGGAGGGGCGGAGGGCCAGCCCAGUCUUGUCUGCUUGCCUCUGGGCACAUUCUGGACGGCCCACUCCUGUCCCCGGCACUGCAGAGGGAAGGAGCGCCUGCGCCUGGCCAGCACCUUCCUGUGCUUUGGGAGUUGGCCUCACGCCGCCACCACGGAGCUGCUUUUCCUGCCCCUGAAAUGUUUUAGGGCCGGGCAUGGUGGCUCCUGCUUGUAAUCCCAGCACUUCAGGAGUCUGAGGCAGCGGAUUGCUUGAGCCCAGGAGUUUGAGACCAGCCUGGGCAACACAAUGAGACCCCAUCUCUACAAAAAUUAGUUGAGUGUCGUGGUGCACACUGUGGUCUCAGCUCCUCAGGUAGCUGUGGUGGGAGGAUCGCUUGAGCCUCCACGUUCAAGGCUGCAGUGAGCCAAAAUCAUACCACCGCACUCCAGACUGGGUGAUAGAGCAAGUCAAAAAAAUUUGUUUUAACUUCUAAGCUGGCAAAUAAAAAUUGCAUAUCAUGAUUGUGUA
rnacentral:lncRNA from 1 species